GCAAGUUUCUUAAUUAUAGACCCCAGCUACAAAAUAAAGCAUUUGUUCUCUCCGUUUGGGAGCCAGACCUCCUGAUUAAUUUCUGUUUUAGGAAGAGGAAUGAAAUAUAUGCUUCUUAUCGAAUAUAAACAGGGUGACUAAGAUGAUGACAAGCACUAUAUCUCCUUCAGAAUCAGCACAAGAUGUUGGAGCAGGAUUCCGUCCCAACGAGAAGGAAUUGGUGAAUCAUUUUCUCAAGCUAAAAUUGCUUGGUCAUGAUCACCAAGUCCGUAGAAUCCCCGAACUUGACGUCUACAAGCGUGAGCCCUGGGAUUUACCCCAGUAUUCGGUAGCGAACUCGAGUGAUGAAGAAUGGUAUUUCUUUCAUCAUUGCCGUAGCGGACGGCCUAGCAGAACAACAAAAGUUGGAUAUUGGAAAAACACUGGUAGAAAACGCAAAAUUAGGGACGAACAGGAAGAGAUUGGUACAAAAAGAAUUUAUGUUUUCCAUAUCGGCCGUGCUCCUAGAGGGGAAAGAACAGGGUGGAUCAUCCAUGAAUACACUGCAGCUUUUAAUUUACCUAACCAGGUAAAUUAAAUUCUCUUCAUUUUUCAGUCUAUAAGUUCAUUUGUUUGUCUUUUCUUGUUUUUCAAGAUCAAUCAUCUCCUAUCAUUUUGCUUUCCUUCUUCUGUAGAGGGCUUUCGUUCUCUGUAAACUAUUUAAAAAACGUAUGCCGGUCACUGGUGAAGUUGAACUUAGUCGCAAAAUGGCUGCUUGUAAUCUUGAAAAUCAGAAUUCUUAUCAGAAGACUAAUAAUUCAGCCUUCGAUGAAGGUGAAACAAGUCAUCUUAUGACUUUUGAAAAUCAAGCAACAGAUUUUGCAAUUCAAGAAGAGGUGAGGAAGGAACUAGUAGCCUUGUGGGGUAUAAUUUAACGUAACAUGGGACCUGUAUCAAUCAUCUAGAACUAAUGCUUACUUUUCUGUGAGUAUCUACAGGUACAUUCUCAACCGACACCUCAUCUGGGACCGUUUUACGGCUGUAAUGAACAGAAUUACAACCUUAACUCUGCACUGAAUUCAACUAUGCAAGACUUUACUUGUGAUGAUCUU
rnacentral:misc_RNA from 1 species